rnacentral:rRNA from 1 species
UAUCCACAGCCAUAUCACCCUGCAGCCCAAGACCGGUUACUCACUGAAGCUAAGCAGGGCUGAGCCUGGUCAGUACCUGAAUGGGAGACCACAUGGGAAUGUUAGGUUGCUUGGAUGU